rnacentral:rRNA from 1 species
AUUGAACGCUGGCGGCAGGCCUAACACAUGCAAGUCGAACGAGUGGCGGACGGGUGAGUAAUGUCUGGGAAACUGCCUGAUGGAGGGGGAUAACUACUGGAAACUGUAGCUAAUACCGAAUAACAUCGGAUGUGCCCAUAUGGGAUUAGCUAGUAGGUGGGGUAAAGGCUCACCUAGGCGACGCUCCCUAGCUGGUCUGAGAGGAUGAUCAGCCACACUGGGACUGAGACACGGCCCAGACUCCUACGGGAGGCAGCAGUGGGGAAUAUUGCACAAGGGGCGCAAGCCUGAUGCAGCCAUGCCGCGUGUAUGAAGAAGGCCUUCGGGUUGUAAAGUACUUUCAGCGGGGAGGCGUUACCCGCAGAAGAAGCACCGGCUAACUCCGUGCCAGCCGCCGCGGUAAUAC